rnacentral:rRNA from 1 species
CCUACGGGUGGCAGCAGUGAGGAAUAUUGGUCAAUGGACGAGAGUCUGAACCAGCCAAGUCGCGUGAAGGAUGACUGCCCUAUGGGUUGUAAACUUCUUUUAUAUGGGAAUAAAGUGUACGAUGUCUCGUGAUUUGUCUGUACCUUAUGAAUAAGGAUCGGCUAACUCGGUGCAAGCAGCCGCGGUAAUACGGAGGAUCCGAGAGUUAUCCGGAUUUAUUGGGUUUAAAGGGAGCGUAGGCGGGUUGUUAAGUCAGUUGUGAAAGUUUGCGGCUCAACCGUAAAAUUGCAGUUGAUACUGGCAGUCUUGAGUACAGUAGAGGUAGGCGGAAUUCGUGGUGUAGCGGUGAAAUGCUUAGAUAUCACGAAGAACUCCGAUGGCGAAGGCAGCCUGCUGGACUGUAACUGACGCUGAGGCGCGAAAGUGUGGGUAUCAAACAGGAUUAGAUACCCGGGUAGUC